rnacentral:rRNA from 1 species
CCUACGGGUGGCAGCAGUGAGGAAUAUUGGUCAAUGGCCGGAAGGCUGAACCAGCCAUGCCGCGUGAAGGUCAGUGCCCUAUGGGCGUUAAACUUCUUUUGUGCGGGAGCAAUAAUGGUCACGUGUGGCCAGACGAGAGUACCGUACGAAUAAGCAUCGGCUAACUCCGUGCCAGCAGCCGCGGGAAUACGGGGGAUGCAAGCGUUAUCCGGAUUUAUUUGGUUUAAAGGGUGCGUAGCCGGGCUGACAAGUCAGAUGUGAAAUCCGGGGGGUCAACCCCCGAACUGCAUUUGAAACUGUUGGUCUUGAGUAUCGGAGAGGCAGGCGGAAUGCCUAGUGUAGCGGUGAAAUGCGUAGAUAUUAGGAGGAACGCCAGUGGCGAAGGCGGCCUGCUGGACGACAACUGACGGUGAGGCGCGAAAGCGUGGGGAGCAAACAGGAUUAGAUACCCCAGUAGUC